GUUGCCGCGAGGAGCCGUCUGAAAGAAGCGCGGAAGCAAAGCCGCGACCUGACGGACAGAAACCGAAUAUGAGGCAAUCCUGGUCGGACGAGCGGGCCCGGUUCCGCGAAGUCCCCGGUCACCAUAGGCCAGGGCUGUAGAUUCGGCAGGUGUGCGGUGAAGGCGGUCAAAC
rfam:Acidobacteria bacterium RIFCSPLOWO2_02_FTLL_67_21 rifcsplowo2_02_scaffold_7493, whole genome shotgun sequence.